UACGGGGGGAGCAAACGUUGUUCGGAAUUACUGGGCGUAAAGGGCGCGUAGGCGGUCCUGUCAGUGGUGUGUGAAAUCCGAUGGCUCAACCAUCGAGCUGCGCUCCAUACUGCAGGACUUGAGUACAGCAGAGGAAAGUGGAAUUCCCGGUGUAGCGGUGAAAUGCGUAGAUAUCGAGAGGAACACCGGUGGCGAAGGCGGCCUUCUGGACAGUGACUGACGCUGAGACGCGAAAGCGUGGGGAGCAAACAGG
rnacentral:rRNA from 1 species